rnacentral:rRNA from 1 species
CCUACGGGGGGCAGCAGUGAGGAAUAUUGGUCAAUGGGCGCGAGCCUGAACCAGCCAAGUCGCGUGAGGGAGGACGGCCCUACGGGUUGUAAACCUCUUUUGCCGGGGAGCAACGGGCGCCACGUGUGGCGUCACUGAGAGUACCCGGAGAAAAAGCAUCGGCUAACUCCGUUCAACAGCCGCGGUAAUACGGGGGAUGCCAGCGUUAUCCGGGUUUAUUGGGUUUAAAGGGUGCGUAGGCGGGUCGUUAAGUCAGUGGUCAAAUUGAGGGGCUCAACCCCUUCCCGCCAUUGAAACUGGCGUUCUUGAGUGGAAGAGAAGUAUGCGGAAUGCGUGGUGUAGCGGUGAAAUGCAUAGAUAUCACGCAGAACCCCGAUUGCGAAGGCAGCAUGCCGGCUUCCGACUGACGCUGAAGCACGAAAGCGUGGGGAUCGAACAGGAUUAGAUACCCUUGUAGUC